CGCGUAGGCAGUUUUUUAAGUCAGAUGUGUAAUCCCCGAGCUUAACUUGGGAACUGCAUCUGAGACUGGAAGGCUAGAGUACUGGAGAGGGUGGUGGAAUUCCUCGUGUAGCGGUGAAAUGCGUAGAGAUGAGGAGGAACACCAGUGGCGAAGGCGGCCACCUGGACAGUAACUGACGCUGAGGCGCGAAAGUGUGGGUAGCAAACAGGAUUAGAUACCCUGGUAGUCCACGCUGUAAACGAUGAACACUUGGUGUGGAGGGAGUUGACCCCUUCCGUGCCGGAGCUAACGCGUUAAGUGUUCCGCCUGGGGAGUACGGUCGCAAGGCUGAA
rnacentral:rRNA from 1 species